GGGGUAGAGUGGGGCACAGGCAAUCAAAGGGAUGACUCAGUUUCUGAAAAUGCAUGCAACAAGAUGGAUUGAAUGAGUAAAGGUUAAGGCCUCGGACUGUGUUGAUCCACAGCGUUCCACUUCAAGACUCCAGCCUCCUGAGGGCCAAAACAUAGGACUUCAUUCCCUGUCUCCUUAGAACAGAAGAAGAAGAAGAAAAGCCCUGAAAAGAAAGCAUAAAGUGAUUUUUCAACAGAAAACCAA